rfam:Loxodonta africana unplaced genomic scaffold scaffold_311, whole genome shotgun sequence.
GUUUGGGUAGCUCAGUUGGUAGAGCAGUGGGCUUUCAAUCUGAGGGUCCAGGUUUCAAGUCUCUGUUCAGGUA